CUUAUUCUAACAUGUAUUAAAUUGUUUUUCCCCUCAAUCUGCACACAAUACUCCAUCAUGACAAAGCAAAAACAGGCUUAGAAUUGCUAGCGAAUUUAUUACAAAUACAAAACGUAAAUAUCACAUUUACAUAAGUAUUCACACCCUUUACUCAGUACUUUGUUGAAGCAGCUUUGGCAGCGAUUACAGCCUUGGGUCUUCUUGGGUAUGACGCUACAAGCUUGGCACACCUGUAUUUGGGGAGUUUCUCCCAUUCUUCUCUGCAAAUCCUCUCAAGCUCUGCCAGGUUGGAUGGGGAGCGUCACUGCACAACUAUUUUCAGGUCUCUCCAGAGAUGUGAGAUCGGGUUCAAGUCUGGGUUCUGGCUGGGUCACUAAAGGACAUUCAGAGACUUGUCCUGAAGCUCUCCUGCAUUGUCUUGGCUGUGUGCUUAGGGUCGUUGACCUGUUGGAAGUUGUGGCGCUGUAGUUCUGCCACCGUAAAAGCCUGAGAAGGAGGAGUGUAGCCUACCGCAGAACAGGAGACGUUUUACUUUACCACACCUCGACUCGUGAGCUGACCGUUUUAAAGAUAUCAUGUUCGUUUGAGAGAGAAAGCGGAUUCCACACUGAUGUUACGAGAAAGAGGCGCAGGAAAAUCGACCGCAGCAUGAUCGGCGAGCCCACAAACUUUGUCCACUUGACACACAUUGGCUCUGGGGAGAUGGCAGAGGGCCGGGCCCCGUCAGGGCCGGUCCAGGAUAAGAUGAGGUCGAAAGGACCCAGUGCCAACGGCUGCAGGAGCAUGUUAUAGCUGCUGCCUACCAAGCAUGGAGAACCAUUUCCAUCCUCCUCUAUGCGCCCCUCUCAUCCCAAAUCAAAAGCAGUCACUGCAGCGUAACCUGUUUCUAAUGGAGCACUUGGCAAACCUGAGAGCGGACCUAAUAGAGAGCAGAGAGGCUCUUCCUGACGUCUGCAGGAUCCAUUUAGCCAAACAGGACGAUGCCCUUUCUGUGGUCACCACAAGAAUCGCCCUGCUCAGAGGAGGAUGGACUGAUGUUUUUGAUGCUUUUUAAAGAAAAGUAUUUGUCUUUCUGAUGGACUUUGGACUUCCACUGUAUUUCAGCCAACAACGUUUCUGUGUCACGGCCAGCAAGCGUGUGUGAGAGGGCCGGUGAGAGUGUUUAGCAAAAUUUGUUGACUAACAUGGCUGAUUCCAUUUCAGGAAGUGAAGAUUAUGUUCUCAAGGAUCACCUGAAUGUUGUAAACCAUUGACCUACUGCCAAACAAAUAGUAUCCAAAAUAUCUUGCGUAUCUGUCUAAUGAAUGAGGAUGCACCUUUAUUUUCCCACAGUGCAUAGUUAAAGGUGUCUUUGUGUGUGUUUAUAAGUGCAAAAUGCUAUGUGAUUUUGUUGCUGUUUAGAUGCCAGUACUGAGUAGUGUUAUUUUGAUUGUACCAGUUGCUAUAGAGCCCCAUUUGGACUGCUACCCAGUUGCCAUAGAACCCCAUUUGGACUGCUACCCAGUUGCCAUAGAACCCCAUUUGGACUGCUACCCAGUUGCCAUAGAACCCCAUUUGGACUGCUACCCAGUUGCCAUAGAACCCCAUUUGGACUGCUACCCAGUUGCCAUAGAACCCCAUUUGGACUGCUACCCAGUUGCCAUAGAACCCCAUUUGGACUGCUACCCAGUUGCAAGCAUACAGGUAACUGCCAAAAUAAAGGAAACCCCAACAUGGUGUCUUAAUAGGGCAUUGGGCACCACGAGCCAGAACCGCUUCAAUGCACCUUGGCAUAGAUUCUACAAGUAUCUGGAACGCUUGGAGGGAUGCUACACCAUUUUUUUCCACCAGAAAUUCCAUCAUUUGGUGUUUUGUUGAUGGUGGUGGAAAACGCUGUCUCAGGCUCCGCUCCAGAAUCUCCUAUAAGUGUUCAAUAAGGUUGAGAUCUGGUGACUGAGACGGCCGUGGCAUAUGGCUUACAUCCUUUUCAUGCUCAUCAAACCAUUGUGACCACUUGUGCCCAGUGGAUGGGUCAUUGUAAUCCUGGAAGAGACCACUCCCAUCAGGGUAGAUCUGUUUCACCCUACAGUAGGUAGAAGGUGAUCACUCAGAAUGGCUGUGUAUUUAUUGGAGUUUACCUUGUCCUCCAUGGGGUUGAGUGGACCUAAACCAUGCCAGGAAAAUGCACCUCCACACCAUAACAGAGCUGCCAAUAAGUACCCUCAUUUACUCAAGUGUUUCCUUUUAUUUUAGCAGGUCCCUGUAGCUGGUCACUGUGAUACACAAUUUACUAGCACCUACUCUGAAAAACCCAAACUAUUAGUCAGCGGGAAGAGUCUGUUAGUAACACGGGUUGUUGUUGAAAUUCGAAACACCCUGACCAUUACGGGGCUUUCCAGUGAUCUAUCCUGGAAUUAUGCCACUCAUUAAAUCAACUGCAUCGAAGGAACAUUCCAGAAGGUAGUUUGUUCUCUUGUCGAGGGGGAUGUCCACCCCCUUGAUCAGAAUGGAACAUUUCAACCAUUUCACUGUGCAUUCCCCUUGUAAUUUCUAUAUGGCCUCCCACUUGAGCUUGUUGUAGGUGACGUGCCCUCCAAGCUGGCUUGUGACCCACAUGACAUCCACACGAUAGUGACAUACAUUCUGAAACCAGGUGGCAGUUUUAAACAUCUGAUUUAAAUCAUACAGUAGAAAUGAAAGUUUGUUUCCUGUACACAACUGUAUUUCUGACGUGCUUAGUAUACACAAUCUGUGAAUAACUCGUCACGCUCUGUCGUUUUUUUGCUAAGUGUGUCCAUACGGGGAAAAACUCACUGUUUGAAUUGGAAUGUUUUUUUAAUAUUGUAUCUUAUGUGAUUUAGCUAGGCCAGUAUCCUAUGUGAUUUAGCUAGGCCAGUAUCCUAUACCAGAACAUAUGGCGUAUGGAUGGUGUAGAACAUGUACAGUAUGUUGUCCCUUUCACUAAUACCGUAUGUGUUUUAUACACUGGGCCUAAUGUUUACUUAAUGCUGAAGGGUGACUUUGCAUAUUGCUUGGUGGCUUUCCUAUCUUUGUUAGAGCAUGUAAUCCUGGGUAAAUUCUCAGCCCAACAGAAUGACUGCUGCCUUGAAGUUUCUUGAACAGUGUACAUUGGGAACGUCAGUCAUUUGAGUCUGUUGGCAUUUUAAGUUUCUAUCCCAUCUUUAUCAUGAUUGUUGUUAGACCAAAGCUUGAGUUCAUUAGAAAUGAUUUGUGCAACCUCUUGAUUCUUCCUGGAAAUACAGUUCACAUUCUGAAUAGAAUUCUAGGGGAGUAAUCUCUUCUGAUGUUGAAUGUUAUCACCAAAUGUGUUACUCAAUUUUCACUGCCUGGUACAGAAAUAAUAGAAUUUCAACCAACUGGUUCCAGUGGCCCCUAUGGGCUCUGCUGUGAACAUUUCUGGGAGAUUGUAUCAUUUUCAUUGAAGUUAAAGUGGGAAUCUAUAGUUGCUACAUCCAUUUUGGGAUUUAUAAAUGAUAUAUACCCAUUGAUUCUUGAAUAUCUUAUAAAUGCCUUAGUUCAACUAUAUUGUUGAUAUCAUGGAUGUUCAGUCCUUGCAUUAAUAGCUCUGAGUUUGAGAGCGGUUACAUUUCUCCAGGCCCAUCCUUCAGCGUUUUACCAAAACACAGGCAGGGUGACUGCUUUGUUAUUGUUUCAAUUAAGGAUUCUAGCUUUAAUCUCAAACUAUUUCAACAAACACAUCUCACUGAAUCCAUCUGGUAUAGCACAAAUAUUGCAAUCUAAACAAAUGCCCUAAAAUAAAUGGAAUGUACACUAUAGUCUGUGUAUGUCUCUCUUUUAAAAACAUGCAUAACAAAGAUGUUAAAUGAUGCAACUAACAAUGCAAAUAGUUGGUAUGGAAAUCUUGUUCUAAGAGCAGCCCAGGGUUGAGUGAAUAGAUGGGUGCAAGGAUCAUGUUCCAGCAGCAAAACCCACUGGAACAGAAGAUUACAAUUUAACGGGAGUAGACUCCAUGAACUGUCUAACCAUGUGAAAUACAGUCCUAAGAAGAGGACGGGUGUAGUCUACGGGGUGUCUAGUCGAGGACGGGUGUAGUCUACGGGGUGUCUAGUCGAGGACGGGGGAAGUCUACGGGGUGUCUAGUCGAGGACUUUGUGAAGGCUACGGGGUGUCUAGUCGAGGACGUUGUGAAGUCUACGGGGUGUCUAGUCGAGGACGGGUGAAGGCUACGGGGUGUCUAGUCGAGGACGGGUGAAGGCUACGGGGUGUCUAGUCGAGGACGGGUGAAGGCUAC
rnacentral:lncRNA from 1 species